AGUGAACGCUGGCGGUAGGCCUAACACAUGCAAGUCGAACGGCAGCACAGUAAGAGCUUGCUCUUACGGGUGGCGAGUGGCGGACGGGUGAGGAAUACAUCGGAAUCUACUUUUUCGUGGGGGAUAACGUAGGGAAACUUACGCUAAUACCGCAUACGACCUACGGGUGAAAGCAGGGGAUCUUCGGACCUUGCGCGAUUGAAUGAGCCGAUGUCGGAUUAGCUAGUUGGCGGGGUAAAGGCCCACCAAGGCGACGAUCCGUAGCUGGUCUGAGUGGAUGAUCAGACAAACUGGAACUGAGACACGGUCCAGACUCCGACGGGAGGCAGCAGUGGGGAAUAUUGGACAAUGGGAGCAAGCAUGAUCCAGCAAUACCGCGUGGGUGAAGAAGGCCUUCGGGUUGUAAAGCCCUUUUGUUGGGAAAGAAAAGCAGCAGGUUAAUACCCCGCUGUUCUGACGGUACCCAAAGAAUAAGCACCGGCUAACUUCGUG
rnacentral:rRNA from 1 species